rnacentral:rRNA from 1 species
AGUGAACGCUGGCGGUAGGCCUAACACAUGCAAGUCGAACGGCAGCACAGUAAGAGCUUGCUCUUACGGGUGGCGAGUGGCGGACGGGUGAGGAAUACAUCGGAAUCUACUUUUUCGUGGGGGAUAACGUAGGGAAACUUACGCUAAUACCGCAUACGACCUACGGGUGAAAGCAGGGGAUCUUCGGACCUUGCGCGAUUGAAUGAGCCGAUGUCGGAUUAGCUAGUUGGCGGGGUAAAGGCCCACCAAGGCGACGAUCCGUAGCUGGUCUGAGAGGAUGAUCAGCCACACUGGAACUGAGACACGGUCCAGACUCCUACGGGAGGCAGCAGUGGGGAAUAUUGGGCAAUGGGCGCAAGCCUGAUCCAGCCAUACCGCGUGGGUGAAGAAGGCCUUCGGGUUGUAAAGCCCUUUUGUUGGGAAAGAAAAGCAGCAGGUUAAUACCCCGCUGUUCUGACAGUACCCAAAGAAUAAGCGCCGGCUAACUUCGUG